ACCUGACAGCACCAUGUGGCUCAAACUCACAACUCAGAGCUGCGAAUGAGCCAUCGCGCUUCAGGCAUUGAUAUUAAAUAGAAACAGUUUAAGCAAAUCAGUACCAUUUUCAUUUGACUUUAAAAGCUCACCACUCAAAUCAAGGGCAGCGUAAAAAAGUUACCAUUACUGCAGUGCAGGCUAGACAGCAAAGACUGCGAAACUAGACCAAAGCCUAAGAGGUCUAACAAGCCCUGAUUUCCAGGGCUCAAAGUCACAUAAACACAGCAACAACAACAACAUGAAACUACAUUUGGAGUCUCUAAAACAUUCUGAGUUUUUAAAACUCAGGUUCAUGGCACAACCAUCUUUCCAUAAAUAAUUUCUGUAUUCAAAGCUGGAUGUAUCGCUGCAUCAACACUUCCAUGUCUAACACAUGGAAUACUUUCUUUGAAGAUUAUUUUUACAGUUCUAGUAAAGAAGUGGAAAUUGAUCAUAAAGGUGGUAGUUUUCUUCUUUUAAAUACAUUGCUUGGGAACUACCCUUAAAACCAUUUCUUGUUAUUUUUAGGAAUAAGUGAUUUGUCCACACAUCAAUAAAUUAUUAUGAAAGGGGUGUGGUGUGGGUGUGUGGGUGCGUCCAUCCAUCCGUUCCCACAUCCCAACAUUCAUUAAGCUAAAAUUUCUGAAAAUGAAAACUGUCAGGACCAGGAGAUGGGUGGGGAUGUGCAGUACACAAAACAAUGCAGAGACUCAAAUAGAAUUUUUUGCCUAUUUACUGUUCUUCCCCUCCCCUGAAGAUAAAUAAUUUAAUGGAUUGUCCUAUUAAGCUUAUAGAUAAAAAAGGAGGAGCUGCUAACUUCUGAUCCUGGUUAAAACCAGUUGUCUGUUUCUGUGCAGAAACAGAGGUGGCUGCUCACUGCAGAGUUACUGACAGAACUCCAAGCACCUUCGCUUGCUCAUAUUUAGACCUACAGAGCCCAGACAUGCUCCUCACAGUCAGACUUCUUUUUUCCAUGUAGUAUUUUGGCAGUAUCUUUCACACUGGUUUAAUUUCAAGAGUAGUCCUAGCAGAGGCAAGGAGACAUGCUUUCCUGGAUGAAUCCACACUGUGCAGCAGUACACAAGAUGAACUCAAAGGCUUAUUUUUAGAGUCUAAUUCUUACAGAGAAACAAUAUCAUCCACUACGUUUUCACUUCCCUUUCAUGCUUCAUUGGCAUUAACUCAUUUGUUAAUAAUGUCCAUCUGUGAUGGUCCAUUUUUAUCCUCAUAAAUUUCACGGCAGAUUACAGGCUUUUAGGGAGCUCUCUAAACUUUAGCUUCCUUACAGAGAAAAGUUUUACCCACACUCUGACAUUACUUGCAUUCUGACAAGUGAAGCUGCAGCACGUGACACUACUCUGCAUCUGUGUGUCCCAACCAGAAAGGAGCAGCCAUGACACCCAGAAGUCUCGUGAAUGCAGCCACAGCCACGGAGGGUAGUGCUGACAGAGCAGCCACCACUCACCACAGCUACACCAAGGGUAAGGAAGCGUGCUCCUGCCUUCUAUGUGCUAGCUGCUGCAUGGAUGUUAAGAGAAUGAAGUUUGCAGAACCAUGAGUCUCCUACCUUUCAGGAUCUCUAGACUAAAUAAACAGCAGAGUUGGAAGAGGAAGGGGAGAAAAGCAGAUAAAGCCAUUCCCAGUCCAGUGAGGAAGAUUCACUGCAGAACUACAGCAGCAAGUGGAUUACCAAAAUAUGUUAAUUCAGUGCUUGGAGCCAGAUACCCAACCAGGGCAAAAAACAAAACACAGAAAAUUUCAAGACACUGAGAUCAUCACUACUCUUUAUCAUGACCAAAAAGAAAAGGAAAAAAAAAAAUCAAUUCCAAACAAAAAGAAGCUGCCUUGCUGACAGGACUCAGAAAGGAAACAAGCUAUGUAUAGCUCUCCAAGUGCACAGUGUGGCACAAUCAUCCUGAACUGUAAUUUUUCAUCAAGUUUUUAAUAAUCAGUUGGCACAGGAAAGUUUGAUUUUCUUCAUAAAGCCUGAAUUUCUUCCUGUCCUAGUGAAUGUUUAACAAUCCUGUGGUGAUACUAUGUUCAGAAGUCACGCAUGGUACAUUGGUUUAAUAACUCUGUCUUUGGGAUACAAGAUGGCAUGUCAUAUCCAAUCUACCACAGAAGCCACUUCAGUCAGGUGGAAACAGGCAUUGAUAGGAAUGUGGAUUUGCAAAAUGACUGCACUAUUGCACUGUGCCUCAUUUGACUGCUUUAUUGAACUUCAAGUCUUCCACCAAGUAGCCCAGACUUCAAUUAUCUACACUAAGAAGAAUGGCUACCGAUCAAUAAAAGGCAAAGAGAAAGCAGGAGUCAUGCAGUGCAUGCAUAGGCUUCGCUCCCUGUUUGUAUAUAACUGUACAGACAGGACUUAAGGUUUUAUUUUUACUCUCCUCCCUCCCCCCUUUUCCCUUCCUCACUGUUUCAAAGUACCACAUUUAGUGAAGGCUGUUCAUUGCAUAUACCUUUGUCCAGAAGACAAGCAGUAAAUAAGGCCAGUACAGAAAGGUUGCCUUGUCCCCUUGCAGGAUAAGGCACUGUAUGACUGAUUCCCCCACCUCACCUCUGAAUAAAAUUCCUUUUCCAGUGUCAAGAGUUUUAUGCAUGUUUUUCAAAGUCUCACAUUCAAGGUACUACAGAAAUCUUUGGAAACCAUUCACCCUUUGUACUCUCUCACUACUGUCACCAAGCUCUACAAGGACAUAAGCACUGUAUCUCGUACUCCCUCAGAGUACUCACAAAGAGGAAGCAAGACAGUGUCAUCUCUUCCAAGGUCCUACCUCUCCACCAUGCUCACUCUUCCCGAUUUCUUCCAGCUUACUGCAGUACUUCUCUCUGCGUAACACACACUUAAUGUGAAAACAUGACAGGUAUAGCAGAAUAAACUGUGCAACAUUAUUAUGAUGCGCUGACAAGAUCAAAAUUAAAAACAGACUUUAAAUUUAUCAUAUGCCACAAACUAUAUCAACUAUAUUAAUCCAAUACAUGCUCUUACUAUAAACUGGUACCUCCUCAAAAGGGUGAGCUUCAAUUGAUCAGUCAAAUUUUUUCUGCUCAGCAAGCAAACAUAGCUAAACCAAUUCAUCCUUGUUGGGAAUGGGAAAUUAAAGGACUAACAAUGUUUUUUUUCUAACACACAGAUUGGCAACUUGUCAAGAAAUAAUACAUCUAUUGUAUGUUCAGGGUAAUUUUAUCAAAUUAGUCUUACUUCACCAUUUCCUCUUUCCCUACUCAUAUAAUUACAAACAUGACACAGUAGACAUUAGAGUAAAUUCAAAGCAAAACCAACACAACCAUUGAAAAUUCUAUAAAUUCCAUACAUGACUACAAAAACCUCAACCCCUCCAAAACUGUUCUUACAAACAGUAUUUCUACCAUCUGGAUGGGCUUACCACCCCCACCCCAGUUCGGCAUUAACUCUACUCUUAAAAGAAAAUCCUACCUCAUCCGUUUUUUUAGAAUGACAUUUGCCAAUUUCAAGUAAAAUGUCUAUUAAACUCUGUUUCAACUAAGUUGCCUAUCCAGUGUCAGGGUCAAUACAAACUUACAGAGCUCAACUUUAAACUUCUUGCAAGAGAAGGCUGAAAUCAAGCUGCAGAAAGACUAAGAAAACGCUGGCCAGACCCCACAGGAGUGUGUAAGAGGUAUCCCUGCCCUGCAGUUCCAAUCUACUUUGACAGGAACAAGGAGUUUAGCUUAGAGGAUAGCAUCUAUGUUCUCUGCUCAUCCUCUGUUCUUUUCUGUUUCUCUUUUGUUCUCAUCUCCUAUGUAUGCAGUAAGAACCGGAAAAUAUUCAUAUGGAAUUGAUAAUUGACCUACUGGAAUUCAAAUAUUUACCAUAGCGGAAUCAGUCAUGCAGUGCUUUUUCCUGCAAGCAAUCAUAUAUUCCCAGCAUAGAUAACAUUUUCGCGUAUAAAUAAGGCCACAUAUCAUUGCUGCUUGUACUUGGAAAGUAUCACACUUUCAGCUGUAGCAGCUAUGAAAAAAAAAUAAUAAAAUACACACGCAGUGCACCAAAACCCACCGAAACCUUCAGGCUUUCAGGCUAAAGUUUUUAAGUUAAAGAGACUUUUCACAUGCUUAAAGUCAUGCUUGUGCACAAAUAUCUGCAGAUGUAAAAACUCAUUCAGUACUGCUGUAAAUCAUGUAAGAGACUACCACCUAUAAGCACUGAUGCUGCAAAGCCAAUUUAUAUUAGUUCUGGUUCUGACCAAGCCACUCCACAGAAAUAUUCCAAUUGUUUGUACCGUUUAAAUUAUCUCUGUCAGACACCUAAAAGCAUUUGUGGUUCACCCCAUUUCAACGUAAGGUGUCAUGCUAUGCCAAAACACUUCAGUCCUCACAGAGGGAAAUGGCAUAUCAGUGACUAUUUCUUUCAGCAUGGAACAAGCAAUAGUGGAAAGUGCAAACCAAUUUAAAUUAACAGAAGGGAUUCACAUCAUGGCACGCAGUUGUCCAUUAACAGAACAAACCCCUGUCCCCCUCCCUUUCUCCAGUUGGCAAUUGCAGCAAAUCUUCCAUGAAAAUACAUUUCCUGUAAUGUUCUGGUCAUGGUUGGCAAGAGCUGCAACCCAUUUCCAUAAAGCCACCAUGCGGAAAAUUGCCUUGGCUGUUAAAAUGGACUAAUGCAAAGGAAUUAUUUUUUUUAAUGUUGAAGGCAUCAAUCCUUUUUAAAAAAAUCCCUCCAGUUUCCAGAAUAUUAACUGGUCACCCACCAGCAAUAAGGUAGAGCCCUGAAACUAGAAAUAAAGCAAAUCAAAGAGUUUUAAAGAAAAUAAGAGAACAAACCCUUCACCCAAUUAUCACUUACAGACCGUUAACCCAGCAAACACAGUAAGAAGACUGAAGGAACUUUGCAACAGCAACUGGGCUCUCACCAGAGUAUAAUUCUCCUGCUGCAACUGCUAAUCAACACGAUUCCACAGUAUCGGUUUGCCCCCCAAAAAGUUAAAUCCUGAGUGUGCAGGCAAGCAACCGUGUAUCACAGGUCAAGUCAGAUUGUGAAAACAAAGAUGUAUUAAGGUUUUCAGGACUGAAAUCUAAUUCUCUGAUAUUCUCAGUAAAUUCUGUCUUUACCUGGUGCAAAUAACUUCAGCUCUCAGUGGACUUGCACCGACCCUACUGCCCACUCUUGCCCUGCAGGGCAGAUUUAAGUCCAUAACACUUACUUACAUCUAUCAAAGCCCUCUCUUACACUGUUUCUGCAUGCAUGACCGCAACAGAUCCCUCUUGCAUGCUUCCCUCCCUCAACUUCUCAGCUGUGCUGGACCAAGGAGGUGACACACAGACUUGGUACACAGGGUGAGGGCCUGCAGCUUGCACUGUCCAGAACCUUUGGUUGCCCAAGGCACAUUAUGCAGAGUUCAAGGAGCUUUGCAUUCUCUCUCUAACUGGAAAAAUCCCUCAAACUUUGGGGUGUUACAAGAUUAAAAGCUGAGAAAUGAGACUGCCUGAUCUGGAGAAAAUUACAAAUAGGUACACAAGUAGAAUAUUCUUGCACAUCAAAAGCAUAACAAAUACAGUGCUACUAUCAUUGUGUAGUUACAAAAAAAGCUCAGAAAGCUUAUGAUGAGAACCUUGAAGUGCAGGACAGCAGUGGUAUUACUGAUACCAUUUGCAAAACUGGAAAGUGAGAAAGAGAAACUUUUAAGGAAAACAUUUAGCAAGUUCAAUAUGAUGAAACUGAAAACCUGAAAUCUCUGGACAGGCAUCGCUUGCAAAGCAUCUGCUGGAAGCUUGGGAACUUCUCAAAAUCAGGCCAAAGGUGUCUCAGUCUGGGCCCUAUAUUAUAGCUAUAUUAAAAAUAAGCAUGCUUUUGAAGAUAUAAGGCUUGUGCCAGAAGCUCAAGGCUUCACAAAACUAAAAUAGAUCAGAAAAUAGGUCCUAGAAAUCCUUAAUCCUGAGGUGCUAUUAUAGUAGCAGGUCAAUUUUGGAUUACUUUACAAUAAGGAAAGGUAAAGAUUAUUAUAAGUCUUAAGAAAGUGUCAUCAAAGCGAAAGUAGGAAAUACAUUUUUAAAGAAAUUAAAUAUCUAUGAUUAAAAUAGCUGAUAGAGCGCAGAAAAAUAUUAAGUUAGUGAGCAUAUAAGAUCUCUGAAAUACAAACAUUUUUGUGAUACAUUUCCUGACUAUUAAAUUCUCAUUGCUGUGGUUCCAAGCUCAAAACUGUGCCUAAAGCAAUACAUCUAGAAAUACAACCAUGAGCUUUCCAGUUUUGUCCUUGCUUGCCCAAGUAAGAAAUGAAGAGGUAUCUCAACUGUAUCUACAUGAACAUAAAAGCUACUUUAUGAUGUUCUUCUGUCUUCAAACUUCAUUGGUUUCUUUUCUGGAAAAAGAACUCCAUCAUAUUACAACCUUUCUUCAAUCCUGAGAGGCAGCAAGGUAAAGAAACACGAGGAAAGGAACAGAGGAGCACCCUGUGUGCACGUAUAUUGUACAUGCAAUCAGAGCGCGGUAAUGUUUUGCUGCUGUGUGUAGUUAACAGCUGCAUAUGUAUUUCAGAGUAUAGAAAAUGCAGUUAAAAGGGUGCAUGAGAAAAUCUACAUAAUGCUGAUUUCUUUCUGAUUAAUUUUGUUUUCUAUUUGUCAUACUCACUACACAAAGAUUUAGCGGAUGCAGGGUCAGCGAGCAGCUAGAGUAUCUUUAAAGAAAAGUCUCACCUUUCCUACUCAGCCGUGCUUCCCAUAACCGCCCUGUUAGCUGUCUACCUGAUUUACGAUUCCCACACUGCCUCUGAGAUUAAAGUAUGACGGUUUGUUUGCAUUUCUACUUAGGCUGGUUAUUUUUUGCCCUUCCUCCAACUUCAGACAAAACCCUGCAAACGACAGGUCUACAGGUCCAACGCUCAUUUCAAAAAGGUACAUACCAUUGCGCUAAGAGGGCUCCUACUCAUCCUCUCCCUGCAUUUCCACCAUACGACAGAGCUGAGAGAAUAAGCACUCUGAAACUGCCAGAGAGUUUCAACCAAGCUGAAAACAAUCAUGGAUUUUGCCUGACAAAGCAGCUGCUAGGUACUUUUGAAAAGACUGCCUCCCGGUCACACUGGCAGUUCACGUCGGACAGAGAAGUAACUCACUGGUCACACACAGUUACUUAAUACCACAGGGGUAGAAGAAGAGAAAUUCCAGUUUAAUGGAAAUGAGGUCCCUUGACAUUUGCGAAGGAGAAGAACCCAGUAACAACAGGCAGGUUCUGCAUGAAAAAUAAUAUUAAUAUUAUGUAACAGACAGCCUAGGUGUCACGAACAGGACCAGCACCUCAGUUGUCUAUGGCAUAUGCAUUUCUGCCCCCAUUUCUUUUUUGACCUAGGCAGGAGCCUGACUUUUCCUCUGGAAAAACCAGCCCACUGCUCAGCCAGCAUCUCUUCCCUCUUAGGGUUAGUUGGGUCCAGCAGAGCUGUUGAGACCAUUUGUUGAAAGGGACACUUCAGCUGUGGAACUUACAACUUCUAACACUGUAAACAAAACCUCAGCUCUGAAUGCAUCAAUAGACUCCAGCCUCAUAUUUAAAGCAGUGUUACAAAUGGUCGGUGCUAUGCUACGUUCUGCAAAUCCAUGACUAAACAUUCUUGUCUCUCGCUUAUCUUCCAGUGCUCAUAAACAAGAAAAAAACAGUCACAGGAGCAGGUUAAAGCUAUAUUAGGUUACAGCAGCUGGAGAAUUCAAGUCAAAAGACAGUUGCCUCCACAGUCAUGCACACACACUUUCUAUAGGCUUUUACUGGCAAACCUGCUGAACUUCUCUUCAAAACUAAAGCAUUUUGCAAGAAGUCUCUGAAAUAAGACAUUUCUUUGUUAAUGAAACUGGUUGUUAAAAAAGAAGGCAGUUAUAAACUUGGGCACAUCUUAUUCAGUUUCAUUGCAACAUUCUAAUGCAACCCAAAACUUAGUCAGGACUCAUUUUAGUUUGCUCUGACACACAUAUAGGAACAGAGCAAAAAAGCAGGUUGGACAGUGGAGAUUUCAGUUUCUUCAGCAGCUGCUCAGUUUUUAUUACAUUUAGGAAAUACGUACUGUGCAGAAAACGUUAGGCCAAAUGGGUGCUUGGAUUCCUGUCUUUUCUGCCCACUCCCUCAAGUCUUUUGCAGCUCUGUGGUUUUUAAAGAUGAACCAUAGUUCCUGGGAGGGUAAAAGAAUGUGGUAAACUUGCUACUGGCUGGUUGCUAUUUCCAAGCUCCCUGAGUGUACACCUGUUAUUGCACCGCUGGAAAAUGCCUGUGUUCCCACGCAGGAAGUUAACUGAUGCAGCUCCCCCAAAGCAAAGUGCAUUUUCUACGCAGGUAACUUGUGGGUCCAGAAUAAGUGCAUUAGCUCUUGUAUGUUUAGUGCCAACAUUUGUUAUAAAUAUUUGCAAGGCUAUAGACGCUUCUGUAUACCAAGUGCACCCAUUUUUGGACAGUCAAAAAUAAAUUACCAUGCAUGAAAAAUUCAUAUAUAUUCAACUGAGUCUUGGGAAACUUCUGCAA